CAAGAAAUUGACAGAUACUUUUAUACUAUCAUACACAUAUAAUAUGAGUUAAUCAAUUUUAGAUUUAAUAACUUCUCACAUGAAGUGUCACUACCAUUGAGACAUACACUUGAUAUUUAUGACAAUUUAUUUAUACUACGUUAAAUAAAUUAAUGUAUUAAAUACGCACCUUAAACCAUACAUAUUCAUAUUUGUCAAGAUUUAAGAGACCAAAAUUAUAAAUAAAUUUUCUUCCACCGGUCAAUCAUAAAUUUUUG
rnacentral:lncRNA from 1 species